GACGGCCAUACCCCAUGCUAAAACACCGGUUUUCGUCCGAUCACCGCAGUUAAGCAUCAUCGGGCGUGGUCAGUAUUGGGGGGUAACCACCUGGAACACCGCGUGCCGUU